rnacentral:rRNA from 1 species
UACCUUGUUGCUUCGGCGGGCCCGCCUUAACUGGCCGCCGGGGGGCUCACGCCCCCGGGCCCGCGCCCGCCGAAGACACCCUCGAACUCUGUCUGAAGAUUGAAGUCUGAGUGAAAAUAUAAAUUAUUUAAAACUUUCAACAACGGAUCUCUUGGUUCCGGCAUCGAUGAAGAACGCAGCGAAAUGCGAUACGUAAUGUGAAUUGCAAAUUCAGUGAAUCAUCGAGUCUUUGAACGCACAUUGCGCCCCCUGGUAUUCCGGGGGGCAUGCCUGUCCGAGCGUCAUUGCUGCCCUCAAGCCCGGCUUGUGUGUUGGGCCCCGUCCUCCGAUUUCCGGGGGACGAGCCCGAAAGGCAGCGGCGGCACCGCGUCCGGUCCUCGAGCGUAUGGGGCUUUGUCACCCGCUCUGUAGGCCCGGCCGGCGCUUGCCGAUCAACCCAAAUUUUUAUCCAGGUUGACCU